rfam:Picea glauca, whole genome shotgun sequence.
UACAACAUAUAAUUAAUGCAAUGGAUCCCUUUAAAAUUCUACAGUUAAGCGCAUUCAUGAUAGAGUAGUACUGGGAUGGGUGAUCGUCGAGGAAGUCAUAGUGUUUUAC